UAGUUUAAGAAUUUAGUAAAGCGUAUACAAUGAACUCCCAAUAAAUCGUUUAAAGAUGGAUUAUUGCAAAUGUUUUAUGAAUUAAUUCUCACAUAAAGUUCUAAAACAAUAAUUCAUUUCCAUAAAACUAAGAUUUUUACCGUUACAAUACUGACCAUAUCUUAUCCAUAAAAAAUACCCAUUGAAAAUCAUGAGAUUGUGAAUAAAGGAAAGUAUUCUUUUUUUUAAUUAAAUCAAAUUAUUUGUAAUACGGAUAAAGAACAAGUCAACCAAGUACAUAAAUCUUACAAAACAAACAGUAAAGAUAUGUCAUAAAGUGUAAUGUCGUGGAAUUAUGUAAUAAAAAAAAGAUCUGGUAAAAUCUUGUCUCCGAAAACUCAAGAGCAAAUGCCUUGUGAGAGUUUAAAAUUCAGAGGAGAAUCUUCGCCGUGCCAUUAAAUUAAUGAAUAAUUUAAGACAAUGAAAUUAAAAUUUCAGAAAUACUAAAUGGACAAGGCCAGGGUUCAGUUUUAAUAUCAUUUACUAAUAAAUCUUGUUAACUUAA